rnacentral:rRNA from 1 species
CUCGCCUGUUUAACAAAAACAUCACCUCUAGCAUCACCAGUAUUAGAGGCACCGCCUGCCCAGUGACACAUGUUUAAUCCUCGCCUUGUUAACAAAAACAUUUUCUUUAGGUUUUAUUAAAGAUAAGGCCUGCUCAAUGAAGAUUUAAAUGGCCGCAGUAUAAUGACUGUGCUAAGGUAGCAUAAUAAUUUGCCUUUUAAUUGGGGGCUGGAAUGAAAGGUUUUAUGGGGAAUAGCUGUCUUAAAAUAAAUAGUUGAAUUUAAGUUUUGCAUAAAAACUUGCAAUUACUCUUAAGGGACGAGAAGACCCUGUGGAUUUUUAUUUGUUAGAGAAUAAGUUUUAUAAUAUUUUAUUUUUUAUCCAAAUUUGGUUGGGAUGACAGUGAAAUUAACUUUAUUAAAAAAAUAAUACAGUUCCUUUUUAAGGAAAAAAGAACAAAUUACCCCAGGGAUAACAGCGUAAUACUUUUGGACAGGACAAAUGGAUAAAAGUGUUUGCGACCUCGAUGUUGAAUUAAAAUUUCUUUAUUAAGCAUAAAUAAUAAAAGUAAGUCUGUUCGACUUUUAAAAUUUUACAUGAUUUGAGUUCAGACCGGUACCGAUGGUGCAGCCGCUAUUAAAGGUUCGUUUGUUCAACGAUUAAAGUCCUACAUGAUUUGAGUUCAGACCG